rnacentral:misc_RNA from 1 species
UUUGGGAGCGAGCCUGCUCGCGAUAGCACAGUGUCAGUCGACUUCAAUGUCGAACAGUAGAUCGCUAUCGCGAGCAGGCUCGCUCCCACA